CCAACGACCAAAGCAAAGGACAGCAGAACUGACUGACACAGCUCAGAAAAUAUCCAAAGCUCUGUAUGCUCUGGAAAGGAAGACAAGAAAUGCUAAAGACUCUGGAUAUUGCUCUGUUUCUAUAAGGUCCCACCCAUAUACCAUCUCUUCUUUUGGAUUUCCUUUGGCAGGGUUCCCUUGUAUGGAAGUUCUCAGGAGAACAACACUCUCAGAGUCCCACUGUCUCAAAGAAUUCUUAAUGGACAGCUAUACUUGGCCCCAAGGUUUCAACCUCACACUGAAGAAAGUGACAUAAGAAAACACAAGUCCCAGUGCUAUCAGGGGCUAUCUGGAAAAGCUGCUUAAACAGCAAGUGAAAGAAGGCUCUCCCCUACCCCGUUCUAGAUGGAGUCUCGCUCUGUCACCCAGGCUGGAGUGCAAUGGCACGAUCUCAGCUCACUGCAACCUCCGCCUCCCAGGUUGAAGCGAUUCUCCUGCCUCAGCCUCCUGAGUAGCUGGGAUUACAGACUCACCCUGAAGUUAUUUGAAGGAUCCUUGAGACUCUUUUGGAUUGCUGCUUGGAGAACAUUCCUGUAACUUGUCCCUGCUCCUUGAACUAUAAAAGCAGAAGGGAGGUACUGAGUUAAAACUUACAAAUUAUUAUCAAAUAAAUCUUCAAUAGUGGUUCAGU
rnacentral:lncRNA from 10 species